CCCUUAGAUGUCCUGGGCUGCACGCGCGCUACACUGAGUGUCUGAGAUACGAGUCUGCCUGGUCCGGCAAGGUCUAGGUAAUCGCUAAAAGACACAUCAUGCUUGGGAUAGAUUAUUGCAAAUAUUAAUCUUGAACGAGGAAUUCCUAGUAAGCGCAAGUCAACAGCUUGCGUUGAUUACGUCCCUGCCCUUUGUACACACCGCCCGUCGCUACUACUGAUUGGAUGUUUAAGCGAGGUUCUCGAACUGCUAGCGACUUAGCUUCGGUGAGGUCGCAGUGUGGGGAGUGAACCUAGCUUUGGUGUCUAGAGGAAGUAAAAGUCGUAACA
rnacentral:rRNA from 1 species